GUGGACUCUGUAAGAGAGUGCGAUUUAGGUUUGUGAAAUAACCAUUAACCUUCGGCACUCCAGAUGUUUUUGACUACACCUCCCAUUUUUUAAUCCUACUUCCCAUCUCUACUCUUUCUUUUAUAUUUUACCUGUCUCUUUCAACUAUAUCUUUUACCUAUCUCCAAUCUUCUGAUCUUUCUUUCACCCCUACCUUCCACUAGCUUAUAUUCUAUUUUUAAUCAACAAUUUAAAUAUACAUAAUCCAAGAAAGGAUUAUUACGCAAAUAUCUCUAAAUCUCUAGAUAAUAGUCCGUAUAUUGAUUCUUUUCUGUUGGUAUCUUCUGUUAGCGCUUCCCAGUUUAGGUUUUUACUUUGUAUGUAGGCUAUAGUUCUUUUAAGAUAACUAUAAAGCAACAGUUCCGUUUAUAACUCUUAUACUAUUUUUUCAGUAUACUGUCAGUCAGGUCAGGAAUAAAGUUUCAAAAAGUGAACUGCAGUAUUUUAAGGUAGCCAAUAUAGCAGUAAUACAGACUCUAUUCUUGAGAUAAAUCGAUAAAGUAAAAUUGUACUAGUCUAGUAGAAACGCUGUGAACAGGAGAUAUUGUAGUCUUGUAGAUACUUUUCUAUACGUGCCAAUUCCUUUGUGAAUGCUUCUGCGUAAUUCCUUAUCAUAGGAGAGGCUCAGAGCGUGGAUAUUACUAUACGCUUAGAAUCUGAGCCAAGAUUUGCUAUCCUUCGAAGCUAUGUUGGACCCAGACUGGACGCUCACUCUGCUGUAUUGCGCCUUCGCUCACCUGCCAUGUGGGCCUUGGCGUGUUGUAGUCGUGUUGAAAAUUGCUUUGUCUCCCAGAUUUCUCCAUGUCUCGGGUCUCUCUUUUAAUUAGCUUGAUAUACCAGCAAGGAGUGUCAGCAAGAUAAUACGUCUGAUAUUUGGUCAGUUGUUUCCUCGGCUAGGCUAGUCCGUCCAACUUUCUCGGUCCUCUCCUCACUACAAACUGCAGUUCGCCAUUUCCACUCACUACCACAUCUAUUCAUAUCACCACACCUGCACUCGAUAUCACAUGGACACUCAGUGUUGUGCGUCCUACGUCAUCAUGCUCUAUAGGGAGCUGAAUGAUUCGAUUGUAAGAAAGGGUAUUAACCACCGCAUGGUAUAAUUAGAAAACUGGAUGAACAGUAAAACCCACGAAUGAGCUGCCAAAGUAAUGAACAGUAAACCCAUUAAUGAAUUACCAGCAGGAUUAUCAAUUUGUAAGUGAA